UAGGGAAUCUUCGGCAAUGGACGCAAGUCUGACCGAGCAACGCCGCGUGAGUGAAGAAGGUUUUCGGAUCGUAAAACUCUGUUGUUAGAGAAGAACAAGGAUGAGAGUAGAAUGUUCAUCCCUUGACGGUAUCUAACCAGAAAGCCACGGCUAACUACGUGCCAGCAGCCGCGGUAAUACGUAGGUGGCAAGCGUUGUCCGGAUUUAUUGGGCGUAAAGCGAGCGCAGGCGGUUUCUUAAGUCUGAUGUGAAAGCCCCCGGCUCAACCGGGGAGGGUCAUUGGAAACUGGGAAACUUGAGUGCAGAAGAGGAGAGUGGAAUUCCAUGUGUAGCGGUGAAAUGCGUAGAUAUAUGGGGGAACACCAGUGGCGAAGGCGGCUCUCUGGUCUGUAACUGACGCUGAGGCUCGAAAGCGUGGGGAGCAAACAGG
rnacentral:rRNA from 1 species